UACGGGGGGGGUAAGCGUUGUUCGGAAUUACUGGGCGUAAAGGGCUCGUAGGCGGCCAACUAAGUCAGACGUGAAAUCCCUCAGCUUAACUGGGGAACUGCGUCUGAUACUGGAAGGCUUGAAUCCGGGAGAGGGAUGCGGAAUUCCAGGUGUAGCGGUGAAAUGCGUAGAUAUCUGGAGGAACACCGGUGGCGAAGGCGGCAUCCUGGACCGGCAUUGACGCUGAGGCGCGAAAGCCAGGGGAGCAAACGGG
rnacentral:rRNA from 1 species